rnacentral:rRNA from 1 species
UGAGCCAAGUUUAGGGUUUUCUCAAAACCCAAGCAGUAUUGAACUGAAGAGUUUGAUCAUGGCUCAGAUUGAACGCUGGCGGCAGGCCUAACACAUGCAAGUCGAGCGGAUGAAGGGAGCUUGCUCCUGGAUUCAGCGGCGGACGGGUGAGUAAUGCCUAGGAAUCUGCCUGGUAGUGGGGGAUAACGUCCGGAAACGGGCGCUA